GAAUGGGGGAUGUCCCAGCGGCCCUGCUCCCCCUUCUCCUCCUCGGGGGGCUGCCCCACAUGUGUGGGGCAGUGCCGGUGCCUGGGGCCGCAGCUCACGCAGACGCUGGCAGGGCAGACCCGCAAGCUUCAGGCACAGGCAAGUCCCGGGUGGCUGUGGGGUGGGGAGGACACCCCUGGCUCCCCCAGCAUGGAGCGGGCUCGUACCCCGGCUCAGCCCCUUCUCCCCAAACCAGGUGGAGUCCUUCGAGAGCUGGCUCCAUGCAGGGAGCGCGGUGCCGCAGGAGCAGCUCCAGGUGCGUCCUUCCUAGGGCCGCGCGGGUUCCCCGGGCUGGGGGAGCCCCUCGCUUUUACCCCCCCUGUUGUCCCUGGGGGGCUCCGUCCCCAUUCCGGGAGCGGCAGGGUGCAGCCCCAGCACCGAGGGUGGUUUUGGGGCUGUGUGGGGCCGAGCUCUCAGGCUGCCCUUGCCCUGCAGCGGUUCCGGCGGCUGAAGGCGGCGCAGGACGCGCUGGAGCGGGCGUACCUGCGGGCACGGGAGGAGCACGGGCAGCAGCAGCAGCACCCCGCAGCCUCGGGGGACUUCGACCCGGAGCGCGCGGUGGAAGGGGAAAUAUUCUGCCUGGGGAUGCGCCUGGAGGAGCUGAAGGAGCGGCUGGAGCGAGCAGCGCGCCCCCCGGGCUCCCCGCACCCCCAGCUGAGCCCAGCGGUCACCGAGGGUCCCCCCAGCACCCAGGGGACAUCGGGGGACGGCGAGGUGGUGGCAGGGGGGCUGCCCCGGCCCCUCUGGCACAAGCAGCACCGAGCAGAGGAGGACUUUGGGGACCUGCUGGAGCAGUAAGUGCCCCUCAUGGGGUUUUAGGGGGGGCAGCUCCCGGCACCCCAAACCCACCCGCUGCUGCCUGCACCUCGCAGGUACCAGCACUUCAAGUCCUUGCCGGCAUCGCUGAGCCUGGAGCGCCUGAGCCUGGUGGGCAGCGGCUCCCUGGAGGAGGCGGAUGGCCCUGUGGAAGGGGACGGUGGCCCCAGGCAGGUCCCCUGCAGGGCACAGUCACUGGAGGAGGGCACCGACCUCGAGACCUCCCCCUCGUAAGUGCUGUGGGCGCACGGAUGCCCCAUUUAGGGUGAGCGGGAUGGCUUGGGGAGGGUUGUGCCUCAAAGCAAGCCGGCUGCCCGGGCUCCCCGUGUAGGUGGAGGGCGUUUUAGGAGACGUUGGGCAUCGUGUGCGUGGUGUGCCGGGUGUCGGUGCACGGGGAUUGAGGCCCUUUGGAGACCGCCUGCCCCACACGGUCCUCACCCUGAUGGGCUUUGGGGUUAAUGGGGCACCUGGCUGCUCG
rnacentral:lncRNA from 1 species